CUCAAGCUAAAGUCAAGACAGAAAAUCAUGGCUCACUGUAUUAGAGCAGUAACUCUGAGCAAAAGGACAGCCAGAUACUACUCAAGGAAGCGACUGCAUUCAGCACAGCUCUAAUGCCCUGCUGACCUGCGUUUUCCCCUACACUUUCAGAGAGAGAGAUUUUCAAGACAGAUGAAUGACACUAAGAAAAGACAAAUUCCCUCCAUAUGUCAAGUCUACAGAUCCACAAGCGACAUGCAAUCCACUGUAAAACAGACUGUACACUUUUUAACAGGUAUUUUAAAUACCAGCACUAUCAAGCAGUCACUCCAGGACCCAGGAAGGAUAAGGAUAUGUUGUCAACAAAAGGAAAAAAAGAGAUAAGGUCUUUGGAGUCCACCCCCUGACCUGAC